AACGAACGCUGGCGGCAGGCCUAACACAUGCAAGUCGAGCGAGGACUUCGGUCCUAGCGGCGGACGGGUGAGUAACGCGUGGGAACGUGCCCUUUGCUACGGAAUAGCCCCGGGAAACUGGGAGUAAUACCGUAUGUGCCCGAGAGGGGAAAUAUUUAUCGGCAAAGGAUCGGCCCGCGUUGGAUUAGGUAGUUGGUGGGGUAAUGGCCUACCAAGCCGACGAUCCAUAGCUGGUUUGAGAGGAUGAUCAGCCACACUGGGACUGGGACACGGCCCAGACUCCUACGGGAGGCAGCAGUGGGGAAUCCUAGACAAUGGGGGAAACCCUGAUCUAGCCAUGCCGCGUGAGCGAUGAAGGCCUUAGGGUUGUAAAGCUCUUUCAGUGGGGAAGAUAAUGACGGUACCCACAGAAGAAGCCCCGGCUAACUCCGUGCCAGCAGCCGCAGUAACAC
rnacentral:rRNA from 1 species